rnacentral:lncRNA from 10 species
GCCAGACUUAAUCCUUUGAUUCUAUACGCUGUGGGGCAGGUCAUUUUAUGAAUUUGUAUUCCUGCUGAAUUACACAGAUUACACUCCCACUUGGCUGCGUGGUCACUAGAUCUCUCUAACCUUCUGAAAUCCAUCAAUUCCUCUAUUCUCUUAAACUUUUUCCCCCUUCUUUUAUUACUAAAUUUUGAACAAUGACUCGGCAGUUUAAGCUGAGGAGACUCAUUAGCCAGCAUAAGUAGUGGUGGUAAUUAGAAAGUUGCAUUCAGAAUUAUCUGGAGAUUUAAUUCCCUAAAGUAACAGAAACAAGCUAAGAAAAUGCUGAACCCUAGGGUGGAAGGAAGGAAGCAAACAGAUGUGACUUGAAGUUGAUGCUAAUGGGUAUUUUCUGGUUCUAGGAAGUGGCACUCUACUUUCCAUGUCCUGUUACCCACUUUGAGGGAGAUUCAGAGGAAGUUUUAAUUUGAUCUUCCAUCACUGGGAGUCAGUUCUGAGUUCUGAAAGGGGGAGUAAUAGAUGGUUUGGUGCUUCUGUUAAGCUUAUACUUGAAUAAGUAUGAUAAUAUAUGUGAAAGAACUCUAAAAGUUGUGAAGUUUUCUUAAAAAUGCAAGGUUUUAUUAUUA